GGGCAUCUGUAAAGAGAGAGAGGCUGAUAGGGAGGUAACCUCAUAGUGUGUUUGUGUCGUUGUUGUUCGGUAAGGUGGUCUUUAAUGGAUUGCCACUUUAGGUGUACACACCAUUACCGUUCGAUAAACGUGUCGGAAUUAUGAAUAUGUAGCUUGGACCAUUUUAGUGACAUAUGUCAAAUAUUGGUGGACUUGUCAUUGCAAUGCGAAUGUUUGGAGAAGCGCAUAUUGGUUGUCACUUAGACGUCGC
rnacentral:lncRNA from 1 species